rnacentral:rRNA from 1 species
AAUGGGCGCAAGCCUGAUCCAGCCAUGCCGCGUGAGUGAAGAAGGCCUUCGGGUUGUAAAGCUCUUUCGGCCGGGAAGAAAUCGUAUAGGUUAAUACCCUGUGCGGAUGACGGUACCGGCAUAAGAAGCACCGGCUAACUACGUGCCAGCAGCCGCGGUAAUACGUAGGGUGCGAGCGUUAAUCGGAAUUACUGGGCGUAAAGCGUGCGCAGGCGGUUUUGUAAGACAGGCGUGAAAUCCCCGGGCUCAACCUGGGAACUGCGUUUGUGACUGCAAGGCUAGAGUAUGGCAGAGGGGGGUGGAAUUCCACGUGUAGCAGUGAAAUGCGUAGAGAUGUGGAGGAACACCGAUGGCGAAGGCAGCCCCCUGGGCCAAUACUGACGCUCAUGCACGAAAGCGUGGGUAGCAAA